rnacentral:rRNA from 1 species
UACGUAGGGUGCGAGCGUUAAUCGGAAUUACUGGGCGUAAAGCGUGCGCAGGCGGUUUUGUAAGUCAGAUGUGAAAUCCCCGGGCUUAACCUGGGAACUGCGUUUGAAACUACAAGGCUAGAGUGUGGCAGAGGGGGGUGGAAUUCCACGUGUAGCAGUGAAAUGCGUAGAGAUGUGGAGGAACACCGAUGGCGAAGGCAGCCCCCUGGGUCAACACUGACGCUCAUGCACGAAAGCGUGGGGAGCAAACAGG